ACCCCCAAUAAUGUACUAUAACCCCAAAAUCAAUUCUUAUCUUCCUUUUGAGUUUUGUGUAUGAACCUCCUGGUAAAAUUUCAUGGAAAUCCAUUUACUUAACUCAAGUUAUUGUCUGAAACCAAAUGUGUUUUUUUUAACAUGCUUGUAUUUCCCAUUUCCAUUCUCAAUUUUUUUUGCUAUCAUAUAAGAACUUGAAAAGUAAGCUACAUUAUGUACAUGUAACAAAAAAAAU
rnacentral:lncRNA from 1 species